rnacentral:tRNA from 1 species
UAGUUCAUGGUGUAGUAAACAUAAUAGAUUGCAAAUCUUUAGAGAAAUUUUGUGCUAA